GACGAACCGUGCGGACGUUGUUCGGAAUCACUGGGCUUAAAGGGCGCGUAGGCGGGCUUGAUAGUCCGUGGUGAAAGCCCCCGGCUUAACCGGGGAAGUGCCGUGGAUACUGCAAGCCUGGAGGAGGGUAGGGGCAUCUGGAACGCUGGGUGGAGCGGUGAAAUGCGUUGAUAUCCAGCGGAACUCCGGUGGCGAAGGCGAGGUGCUGGACCCUUUCUGACGCUGAUGCGCGAAAGCCAGGGGAGCAAACGGG
rnacentral:rRNA from 1 species